UGGAUUUAGACCCCUAGCCAGCCU
rnacentral:piRNA from 1 species